AUUUUCAUUUUACCUUUGAAAUCUGCUAGCAUUAGCUUAACACUCACAGGACCCCACUUCAUGUCUCCCCUGCAGAUAUCUCUGCCUCAUCUCAUCAACUGUUCAUUCCAGUUGGUUUUCCUUUUGUACAUAACUUAAUUGUUUCAGAUUUCUUUCUAUUUCAGGGCUUUGUACUUACUAAGAAAGAAGAUAUUCCAACAAGGAGUGUCAUUAUAUAUUUAUUUAUUAAAAAUGGUUUAUUAAGCACCAAACUAAUACAUGAUAAAUGCUGAGUAUAAUAAUAUGUCUGGCAAUGCCUCUGCCUUUAUGGUGCUUAUGUUCUAGUGUAGAAGACAAAGAGUAAACAAAUAAAUUUAAAAUAUAAUGGGCAGCUUUUCUACAUUGACAAUAAAAUAUUCUGUGGAAAGAAGACUUUACACUAGGUGCCAAUGUUUUCAUUUCAUAUAAGGACAGAAACCCGAGAGAAGAUUCAAUACUGAGGAUUGGUAGAGCUGGAAUUUAUUAACCUCAAAGGAGAAAGAGUUUUGGAAAUCAGGUCUCCAGCAUUAGGCCAGAAUUCUUUCCAACCAGACCACAUUGCUGCUCAGGAUUGGCUUUCUAUUAUAGAAACAGUCAGUAACACUGAUUAUCUUUACAGGUUUGUCACCAUUCCACCUCCACACCUUUCUAACGACAGAACCAUCAUGUAUGUUUGUUGGAUGUCCUAAAUAUUACAACCCCAAGAUGGCAAACCCCUACCUACAAUGAAACUUUGUAUUUGGGAAGAUAACUUUAAGAAGGAAAAGAUGCUGCUAUUUGGGGAAACAUUAAAACCAGAAUAAAAAUUGGAAGUAAAAAUGAACGUAACCUCAUAUUUCCUAAAUCAGAUCCAUAAGGGGACAUUUCUUGGCUCUUUGCUGUAAAAGCCUGGUGGCGUUCCUGGAGAUAACACCCAUGCAUUUGGGUGCUCAUGAAAGACUGUGGAUACCAGGGAAUAUUAUUUUUUGUUUCUCUAAAGCUAGUGCACACUCAGCUUCAAGCAAUUUGUCAAAAUUAUCAUUUUGCUUUCUUACCAGUAUAUCGCUUCAGUAGCUUCUGCUCCAGACAGGGUCUCCCCAUCAGCCUGGCUGGGAGAAAGUGGUAUAAUCAUGGCUUGCUGCAGUUUCAACUCUCUGGGUUCAAGCAAUUCUCCUGCCUCAGCUUCACUAGUAGCUGGGACUACAGGUGCAUUCCACCUCACCUGGCUAAUUAAAAAUUUGUGUUUGUUUGUUUGUUUUGUAAAACAAAGUUUUUCUGUGUUGCCCAGGUUGGUCUCAAAUUUCCAAUCGCAAGUGAUCCACUUCAGCUUUUCAAAAUGCUGGGAUUACAGGUGUGAGCCACUGCACCCAGCCAUGGCAUUAUUCUUAUUAGUAAUAGCCAAAAAGUAGAAAAAAUUUAAAUGUCCAUCAACUGACAAGUAGAUAAACAAAUUGUGGUUUAUCCAUACAAUUGAAUAUUAUUUAGCAAUAAAAGCAGUGCAGUACAGAUAAAUGCUACAACAUGGAUGUAUCUUGAAAGCAUGCUAAGAGAAGGAAGUGAGUCACAAAAAGAAAUCACAUAUUGAAAUAUCUCAUCUAUUUGAAACUUUCUG
rnacentral:lncRNA from 10 species